rnacentral:tRNA from 2 species
GCGGGCGUAGCUCAGUUGGUAGAGCGCCAGCUUCCCAAGCUGGAUGUCGCGAGUUCAACCCUCGUCGCCCGCUCCA